GGAUCGGUAGUUCAGUUGGUUAGAAAUGCCGCCCUGUCACGGGGGAGGCCGCGGGUUCGAGUCCCGUCCGGUCCG
rnacentral:tRNA from 1 species